rnacentral:rRNA from 1 species
AUUGAACGCUGGCGGCAUGCUUUACACAUGCAAGUCGAGCGGUAACAGGCCGCAAGGUGCUGACGAGUGGCGAACGGGUGAGUAAUGCAUCGGAACGUGCCCAGUCGUGGGGGAUAACUACUCGAAAGAGUAGCUAAUACCGCAUACGAUCUAUGGAUGAAAGCGGGGGACCGUAAGGCCUCGCGCGAUUGGAGCGGCCGAUGUCAGAUUAGGUAGUUGGUGGGGUAAAGGCCCACCAAGCCAACGAUCUGUAGCUGGUCUGAGAGGACAACCAGCCACACUGGGACUGAGACACGGCCCAGACUCCUACGGGAGGCAGCAGUGGGGAAUUUUGGACAAUGGGCGCAAGCCUGAUCCAGCAAUGCCGCGUGCAGGAAGAAGGCCUUCGGGUUGUAAACUGCUUUUGUACGGAACGAAACGGCUCUGGUUAAUACCCGGGGCUAAUGACGGUACCGUAAGAAUAAGCACCGGCUAACUACGUG